UUUAUUGGAGAGUUUGAUCCUGGCUCAGGAUGAACGCUGGCGGCGUGCCUAAUACAUGCAAGUCGAGCGAAUGGAUUGAGAGCUUGCUCUCAAGAAGUUAGCGGCGGACGGGUGAGUAACACGUGGGUAACCUGCCCAUAAGACUGGGAUAACUCCGGGAAACCGGGGCUAAUACCGGAUAACAUUUUGAACUGCAUGGUUCGAAAUUGAAAGGCGGCUUCGGCUGUCACUUAUGGAUGGACCCGCGUCGCAUUAGCUAGUUGGUGAGGUAACGGCUCACCAAGGCAACGAUGCGUAGCCGACCUGAGAGGGUGAUCGGCCACACUGGGACUGAGACACGGCCCAGACUCCUACGGGAGGCAGCAGUAGGGAAUCUUCCGCAAUGGACGAAAGUCUGACGGAGCAACGCC
rnacentral:rRNA from 1 species